GAGAUACGAAAUCCAGGAUAAAGCUUCUAACUCAAUUCCUAAGCGGCGCACCACCGUUUGUGUCUCU
rnacentral:tRNA from 1 species